rnacentral:tRNA from 1 species
GGCUGCUUAGCUCAGUUGGUUAGAGCGCUGCUUUCAUGAGGCAGAGGUCCCCGAUUCAACUUCGGGAGCAGCCA